rnacentral:rRNA from 1 species
GACGAACGCUGGCGGCGUGCUUAACACAUGCAAGUCAAGGGGGUGUCGUCGCAAGACGGCGCAACCGGCGAACGGGUGCGUAACACGUGAGCAACCUGCCGAGGUGUGGGGGAUAGCCGGCCCAACGGCCGGGUAAUACCGCAUACGUUCUCUGAGGGACAUCCCUUGGGGAAGAAACCGAUGGGGCAACCCAUGGGGCAGCUCGAGGGGCUCGCGGCCUAUCAGCUAGUUGGUGUGGGAACGGCCCACCAAGGCGACGACGGGUAGCUGGUCUGAGAGGAUGGCCAGCCACAUUGGGACUGAGAGACGGCCCAGACUCCUACGGGAGGCAGCAGUGGGGAAUCUUGCGCAAUGGCCGAAAGGCUGACGCAGCGACGCCGCGUGGGGGAUGAAGCAUUUCGGUGUGUAAACCCCUGUUGCCCGGGACGAACACGAGGUUUCGACCUCGCUGACGGUACCGGGUGAGGAAGCACCGGCUAACUUCGUGCCAGCAGCCGCCGUAA